rnacentral:rRNA from 1 species
UACGUAGGGGGCGAGCGUUGUCCUGAAUUAUUGGGCGUAAAGAGCUCGUAGGCGGCUUGGCAAGUCGGAUGUGAAAACUCCAGGCUCAACCUGGAGCCGCCAUUCGAUACUGCUAUGGCUAGAGUCCGGUAGGGGAGUGUGGAAUUCCCGGUGUAGCGGUGAAAUGCGCAGAUAUCGGGAGGAACACCGAUGGCGAAGGCAGCACUCUGGGCCGGCACUGACGCUGAGGAGCGAAAGCGUGGGGAGCGAACAGG